AUUGAACGCUGGCGGCAGGCCUAACACAUGCAAGUCGAACGAGAGGCGGACGGGGGAGUAAGGACUGGGAAACUGACCGAUGGAGGGGGAUAACUACUGGAAACGGUAGCUAAUACCGCAUAACAUAGGCUGUGCCCAGAUGGGCUUAGCUAGUAGGUGGGGUAACGGCUCACCUAGGCGACGAUCCCGAGCUGGUCUGAGAGGAUGCACAGCCACACUGGACCGGAGACACGGUCCAGACUCCUACGGGAGGCAGCAGUGGGGAAUAUUGCACAAUGGGCGCAAGCCUGAUGCAGCCAUGCCGCGUGUAUGAAGAAGGCCUUCGGGUUGUAAAGUACUUUCAGCGAGGAGGCGUUACUCGCAGAAGAAGCACCGGCUAACUCCGUGCCAGCAGCCGCGGUAAUAC
rnacentral:rRNA from 1 species